GCCCCCGUAGCUCAAUGGAUAGAGCGCCUGGCUUCGGACCAGGAGGUUCCAAGUUCGAGUCUUGGCGGGGGCGCAA
rnacentral:tRNA from 2 species